UAGGGAAUCUUCCGCAAUGGGCGAAAGCCUGACGGAGCAACGCCGCGUGAGUGAUGAAGGUCUUCGGAUCGUAAAACUCUGUUAUUAGGGAAGAACAAAUGUGUAAGUAACUAUGCACGUCUUGACGGUACCUAAUCAGAAAGCCACGGCUAACUACGUGCCAGCAGCCGCGGUAAUACGUAGGUGGCAAGCGUUAUCCGGAAUUAUUGGGCGUAAAGCGCGCGUAGGCGGUUUUUUAAGUCUGAUGUGAAAGCCCACGGCUCAACCGUGGAGGGUCAUUGGAAACUGGAAAACUUGAGUGCAGAAGAGGAAAGUGGAAUUCCAUGUGUAGCGGUGAAAUGCGCAGAGAUAUGGAGGAACAACAGUGGCGAAGGCGACUUUCUGGUCUGUAACUGACGCUGAUGUGCGAAAGCGUGGGGAUCAAACAGG
rnacentral:rRNA from 2 species